rfam:Parcubacteria group bacterium RIFCSPLOWO2_02_FTLL_40_12 rifcsplowo2_02_scaffold_23390, whole genome shotgun sequence.
AUUCCCAUUGAUCCUGUGGGAGGUCACUGCUAUUGGGAUUCGAUUAAGCCAUGCAAGUUAAGGGGCUCUUCGGAGCACCGGCACAAGGCUCAGUAACACGUCGAUAAUUUGCCCUUAGGUCUGGAAUAACCUUGGGAAACUGAGGCUAAUACUAGAUAAGAGAUUUUUCCUGGAAUGGUAUUUCUCUGAAAAGCAAUGCCUAAGGAUAAGUCGGCGGCUGAUUAGGUUGUUGGUGAGGUAAAGGCUCACCAAGCCUUAGAUCAGUAGGGGGGAUGAGAGUCCUAGCCUCGAGAAGGGCACUGAGAAACUGGCCCUAGCCCUAAGGGGUGCAGCAGGCGCGAAAACUUUACAAUACACGAAAGUGUGAUAAGGGAAUCCCGAGUGCUUUACUUCGGUAAAGCUUUUGCUAAGUGUAAAUAGCUUAGAGAAUAAGUGGUGGGCAAGACUGGUGCCAGCCGCCGCGGUAACACCAGCGCCACAAGUUGUGACCAUAUUUAUUGGGUCUAAAGCGUCCGUAGCUGGUUUAGAAAAUCUCUUGUGAAAUUGUUGAAUUUAAUUUAACAGCGUGCAAGAGAGACUUCUAGACUUGAGACUGGGAGGAGAUAGGAGUAUUCCAAAGGUAGCGGUAAAAUGUUAUAAUCUUUGGAGGACUACCUGUGGCGAAGGCGCCUAUCUAGAACAGUUCUGACAGUGAGGGACGAAGGCCAGGGGAGCAAAACGGAUUAGAUAUGGGAAAGGGAAAGCUUUAUAUUUAAAAAAGCAUAUUUAGAUUAGAAUGCCAAGUAGCAAUAUAAAGCUGUUGGAAAAUCUCACACCUGAUAUGUUUAGGAUAGUUGGAAUCCUACAUGGUGAUGGAAACAUGUCUUUCUCUAGAAUCCUCAUCACAGAUAAAUGCAAAGAUUAUCAUAUAACUGUGUUAAGGCCACUCUUCAGAAAGGUAUUUAAUUUAAGAUUCAAUCUGUUCCAUGACCAAAAGAGGAAUUCAUACUACUCGCAUGUCAAAAAUAAGCUUGUUUAUAACUACCUUGUUGCAAAGUUAAAGAUUCCAAAGGGUUCUAUAAGAAAGAAUCUUUUUAUACCGGCAUAUCUUAAGAAAGCAAAUAAUAAUUGCAAAGCAUCUUAUGUUGGGGGAAUUUUUGACUCUGAAGGAAGCGUUAGUAAAAGGCAGGCAGAAAUGAAUUUAUCAACCACAUGUGUAGGUAUCCAUCAUCUUGUAAAAAGUUUCCUGAGAAACAACAAGAUAAAGUUCAGUCAGUUGGUGAGAAAUAGACGACAAAAUAAAGAAUACGAAAUAUAUAUCUAUGGCAGAGAUAAUAUAAAAAGAUUAUUGAAAAUAGUAGAAAUAAAGCAUCCAGAUAAACUGUUGCGUUUAAAACAGCUUUCCCUUGUCCACUANNNNNNNNNNNNNUCCUGGCAGUAAACGCUGUGAGCUAUGUGUUACAUAUUCUUAGUGGAUAUGUAGUGCCUAAGCGAAGGUGUUAAGCUCACCACCUGGGGAGUACGGCCGCAAGACUGAAACUUAAAGGAAUUGGCGGGGGCUCACCACAACAGGUGGAGCGUGCGGUUCAAUUGGAUUCUACGCCGGAAAUCUCACCAGAAGCGAUGGCAGAAUGAAGGUCAGAUUAAAGGUUUUACCUGACACGCCAAGAGGUAUUGCAUGGCCGUCGUCAGCUCGUGCCGUGAGGUGUCUAGUUAAGUCUAGUAACGAGCAAGACCCAUAUUUACAUUUGCUAACAGGUUCUCCGGAACGACUGAGCACUCUGUAGAGACUGCCUUCGUAAGAAGGAGGAAGGUGUGGGCCACGGUAGGUCAGUAUGGUCCGAAUCUUCUGGGCUACACGCGCGCUACAAUGGUAAAGACAGAAGGAUACAACUCUGAAAAGAGAAGUUAACCCUUUAAACUUUAUCUUAGUUCGGAUUGAGGAUUGUAACUCAUCCUCAUGAAGCUGGAAUCUGUAGUAAUCGGUCCUCAUUAUAGACCGGUGAAUACGUCCCUGAGCCUUGCACACACUGCCCGUCAAACCAACCGAGCAGGGUUCAGAUGAGGCUUAAUCUUUAGAUUAACUCGAAUCUAAACUCAGUAAGGUGGGUUAAGUCGUCACAAGGUAUCCGUAGGGGAACCUGCGGAUGGAUCACCUCCU